CCUACGGGGGGCAGCAGUGAGGAAUAUUGGUCAAUGGGCGAGAGCCUGAACCAGCCAAGUCGCGUGAGGGAGUACUGCCCUAUGGGUUGUAAACCUCUUUUGUCGGGGAGCAAAAGCCGGACGUGUCCGGCUGUUAGAGUCCCCGAAGAAAAAGCAUCGGCUAACUCCGUGCCAGCAGCCGCGGUAAUACGGAGGAUGCGAGCGUUAUCCGGAUUUAUUGGGUUUAAAGGGUGCGCAGGCGGAUUUUUAAGUCAGCGGUCAAAUCGUGGGGCUCAACCCCAUCCAGCCGUUGAAACUGGGGAUCUAGAGUGUGCGAGAGGUAUGCGGAAUGCGUGGUGUAGCGGUGAAAUGCAUAGAUAUCACGCAGAACCCCGAUUGCGAAGGCAGCAUACCGGUGCACAACUGACGCUCAGGCACGAAAGCGUGGGUAUCGAACAGGAUUAGAUACCCCAGUAGUC
rnacentral:rRNA from 1 species